UUUUAAGGGUAGGAAUUCAGGGAUUGGAUUGGGAUUUUAAGGGCAGGAAUUCAGGGAUUUUAAGGAGAGGAAUUCAGGGAUUGGGUUGGGAUUUUAAGGACAGGAAUUGGGAUUUUAAGGGCAGGAAUUCAGGGAUUGGGUUGGGAUUUUAAGGGCAGGAAUUCAGGGAUUGGGUUGGGAUUUUAAGGACAAGAAUUCAGGGAUUGGAUUGGGAUUCAAGGCUGGAAUUCAGGGAUUGGAUUGGGAAUCUUCCUGGGAUUGAUCUCAAAACAGGUUGGAUUUUUCCUCAAGGAAUUCUGGGAAUAAUUUCCACUCCCAGAAGUUCAGGAAUUCAGGUGUAAAUUGGGAUUUUAAGGGCAGGAAUUCAGGGAUUGGGUUGGGAUUAUAAGGGCAGGAAUUCAGGGAUUGGAUUGGGAUUUUAAGGGCAGGAAUUCAGGUGUAAAUUGGGAUUUUAAGGGCAGGAAUUCAGGGAUUGGAUUGGGAUUUUAAGGACAGGAAUUCAGGGGUAAAUUGGGAUUUUAAGGGCAGGAAUUCAGGGAUUGGGUUGGGAUUUUAAGGGCAGGAAUUCAGGGAUUGGAUUGGGAUUCAGAAUCUGGAAUUAAUCCCAAGCAGAUUGGAUUUUUCCUCAAGGAAUUCUGGGAAUAAUUUCCACUCCCAGAAGUUCAGGAAUUGUGGUGUAAAUUGGGAUUUUAAGGGGCAGGAAUUGGGAUUUUAAGGGCAGGAAUUCAGGGAUUGGGUUGGGAUUUUAAGGGCAGGAAUUCAGGGAUUGAAUUGGGAUUCAGAAUCUGGGAUUGAUCCCAAGCAGGUUGGAUUUUUCCUCAAGGAAUUCUGGGAAUAAUUUCCACUCCCAGAAGUUCAGGAAUUCUGGGGUAGGUUGGGAUUUUAAGGGGCAGGAAUUGGGAUUUUAAGGGUAGGAA